rnacentral:rRNA from 1 species
AAUAUUGGACAAUGGGCGAAAGCCUGAUCCAGCCAUGCCGCGUGUGUGAAGAAGGUCUNCGGAUUNUNAAGCACUUUAAGUUGGGNGGAAGGGCAGUAAGUUAAUACCUUGCUGUUUUGACGUUACCGAAAGAAUAAGCACCGGCUAACUUCGUGCCAGCAGCUGCGGUAAUACGAAGGGUGCAAGCGUUAAUCGGACUUACUGGGAGUAAAGCGCGCGUAGGUUGUUUGUUAAGUUGGACGUGAAAGCCCCGGGCUUAACCUGGGAACUGCUUUCAUAACUGCGGAGCUAGAGUACGGUAGAGGGUAGUGGAAUUUCCUGUGUAGCGGUGAAAUGCGUAGAUAUAGGAAGGAACACCAGUGGCGAAGGCGACUACCUGGACUGAUACUGACACUGAGGUGCGAAAGCGUGGGGAGCAAAC